CUUCAAACUCAGAAAUUUGCCUGCCUCUGCCCACCAAGUGCUGGUAUUAAAGGUGUGUGCCACCAGCACCCAGCUCAAGGGUUUUUUAAACAGGGCUUUGUAUGGUUUUUAGAAGAGUGUUGUAGUGGGGUUUUUGUUUUUGGCUUUCACGGUUAAGUGUAUAUUUAGUAUUUUUUUUUCUGGGUUUUUAAAGGAUUUUAGCAUGUGUUAGGGUUUGGGGCUUAUUUUUAGGCCUUGGGUUUUUUUUCUUUUAGGGGUUUUACUGUUAUUUUAUAGGAUCUUUUCUAGUGUGCUUGAGUUUU
rnacentral:lncRNA from 1 species